rnacentral:rRNA from 1 species
AUUGAACGCUGGCGGCAUGCCUUACACAUGCAAGUCGAACGGUAACAGGUCUUCGGAUGCUGACGAGUGGCGAACGGGUGAGUAAUACAUCGGAACGCGCCUAGUAGUGGGGGAUAACUACUCGAAAGAGUGGCUAAUACCGCAUGAGAUCUACGGAUGAAAGCAGGGGAUCGCAAGAACUUGUGCUACUAGAGCGGCCGAUGGCAGAUUAGGUAGUUGGUGGGAUAAAAGCUUACCAAGCCGACGAUCUGUAGCAGGUCUGAGAGGACGAUCAGCCACACUGGGACUGAGACACGGCCCAGACUCCUACGGGAGGCAGCAGUGGGGAAUUUUGGACAAUGGGCGCAAGCCUGAUCCAGCAAUGCCGCGUGCAGGAUGAAGGCCUUCGGGUUGUAAACUGCUUUUGUACGGAGCGAAAAGCCCUGGGUUAAUACCCUGGGGUCAUGACGGUACCGUAAGAAUAAGCACCGGCUAACUACGUGCCAGCCGCCGCCGUAAAAC